rnacentral:pre_miRNA from 1 species
AUGCUACUCCCUCCGUCCGAAAAUACUUGUCAUCAAAAUGGACAAAAAUGGAUGUAUCUAGAACUAAAGUACAUCUAGAUACAUCCCCUUUUAUUCAUUUUGAUGACAAGUAUUUCCGGACGGAGGGAGUAUUAU